rnacentral:rRNA from 1 species
AUUGAACGCUGGCGGCAGGCCUAACACAUGCAAGUAGAACGAGUGGCGGACGGGUGAGUAAUGUCUGGGAAACUGCCUGAUGGAGGGGGAUAACUACUGGAAACGGUAGCUAAUACCGCAUACCCUCGGAUGUGCCCAGAUGGGCUUAGCUAGUAGGUGGGGUAAAGGCUCACCUAGGCGAAGAUCCCUAGCUGGUCUGAGAGGAUGACCAGCCACACUGGAACUGUGACACGGUCCAGACUCCUACGGGAGGCAGCAGUGGGGAAUAUUGCUCAAUGGGCGCAAGCCUGAUGCAGCCAUGCCGCGUGUAUUAAGAAUUCCUGCGGGUUGUAAAGUACUUUCAGCGGGGAGGCGUUACCCGCAGAAGAAGCACCGGCUAACUCCGUGCCAGCAGCCGCGGUAAUAC